UUCAGAACAGAUCAACUUGCCAGAAACUAAAACAAACUAAUCGUAACCCUUGUAUAAUUUGAAUGUCAAAAUAAAACAACCUACAUAGAAUUCCUAAAUUAAAAUAAACGAACUAUAUUAAAUCAACUAAAACUUAAAAACAAGAAAAAAGCAAAAAUUAAAUGAUCUUCUAGUUGAUCUUCAUACUCAAGGUCCUGCUAAACUUGCAGAAAGUUUGCAGCAAACCCCGACGACGGAAGAGAGGAAGAAUCUGACAGUGAGUGCAAUUGCAGCGAUUUUGACGAAUUUGUCUGAAAAAUGUGAAAAACAAGGUUGUGGUUUGGAGUAUCCAACGUACCACAUGAAAAAGAUGACAGAAAUUUCAAUCGAAACAGAGAAUAUGAGGUAAAGGCAUCCCAGACCACAAGUAAUACAAUUAAAACCUAUGUCUGCCAUGUUUAUAAUUUACUAUGUUGUUGAGGGCUAAGUAAUUUGUAUUUUUUGCGGGAUAUUCAUAGGGAGGGGGAAGCACAGAAUGUUGUAUGUUUUUUCUUUCCUACAUAAAUAAGAAGGAGGAAAG
rnacentral:lncRNA from 1 species